rnacentral:rRNA from 1 species
UACGUAGGGAGCAAGCGUUGUCCGGAAUCAUUGGGCGUAAAGCGCGCGUAGGCGGCCCGAUAAGUCCGUUGUGAAAGUCAAAGGCUCAACCUUUGAAUGCCGAUGGAUACUGUCGGGCUAGAGUCCGGAAGAGGUGAGUGGAAUUCCUGGUGUAGCGGUGGAAUGCGCAGAUAUCAGGAGGAACACCGGUGGCGAAGGCGGUUCUCUGGGCAUUACCUGACGCUGAGGAGCGAAAGUGUGGGGAGCAAACAGG